UGCUUAGAAUAUAGUGUUAAUGCACUGAAUCCCAUUAGAACUCCAUAUUUAAGCAUGCUCGGGAUAGAGUAGUAUUGGGAUGGGUGACCACCCAAGAAGUCUUAUUGUUUUACAUGC
rnacentral:rRNA from 1 species